UAACACUGUGAAUUUCUUCAUAACACUAAGCAUGCUCGUAUUGUGAGGAUUUGUCCAUAUCAGUCUUCCUGUCUUCCUUAUAGGUGAUAAGUUGCAAAAGGGCAGAGGCCAAGUCUCUUUCCACAGCUGUAUAUCUGGUGUCAUCACAGAGCCUGGCACAUGAACUUUUCAAUUCGCCCUUGCUUUCUUGAAACCCUGAUGCUGUAAUGAAACCAUACUGCAAUGUAGCCCAGGAGGAAAAGACCACAAAGAGAGAAGAUGCCAAGCCAUGCCAGCUGUGUACCUCAGCCCAGCCUGCAGCUACCCUGCCAGCUAAAUGCAGCUGUAUAAGUGAGCCUUGGUGAAGCCAGUGGAAUCACUUCGUCAACUCAAUGUCCUGGAUUUCCUCGGCCAUGAGACAACAAACCUCGGGUAUCACCCCCAACAAUGAGGCCACUUCAUUGUGGGGCCCAUCUGGGAUCCAAGGUAGAUUCAUCAGAAGGGAAACUGAGGAACCUGAACAUGACUGUGAACAAGUUGUGGUACAGACCUAUGCAGCCAGCAAAGCUCUCAGGGAAACUUCCCUAGAAAAUCCAGACUGGACCCUCUUCACAAAUGGAAGUUCCUUUGUGGAGCAAGGAGUCUGUAAGGCAUAUCUUCCCUCCUCAAACCUAAAGGAUGGGAAGCCAUCCAGGGAAGCACUGGCAGAUAGACUUCACCCACGUGCCAAAGAAGAAGGACAUCCAAUACAUCCUGGUACGGGUAGAUACUUUCACUAACUGGAUAGAAGCAUUUCCAUGCUGUACAGAAAAGGCCUCCGAGGUAAUAAAGUGUUUGUUAGUUAAUGAAAUAACUCCCCACUUUAGUCUACCUAAGUACCUUCAAGGUGACAAUGGCCCCUUGCUUAAGACAACUGUCACAUAAGGGGUCACAAAGGCACUAGGCAUACAGUAUCAUCUCCAUUGUGCUUGGAGACCCCAGUACUCAGGAAAGGUAGAGAAGACAAACGAUAUUAUUAAAAGACAUCUCAGAAAACUGCUCCAAGAAACUCACCUUCCUGGGGUCACUCUUCUUCCCAUGGCUUUACUGUGGGUAAGAAAUACCCGUUCAAAGUUAGGUCUGACCCCGUUUUAAAUGCUGUAUUAACAGCCUUUCCUUACAAGUGAUUUUCUAUUAGACCAAGAGACCUCUAAAUUGGUUAAGCAUGUAACCUCCCUAGCUCACUUCCAACAGAAAUUAACACAACUAGCAGAAGCCCAACCCCCCAAAAUAGAACCAUCAUUAUUUAACCCAGGAGUUGUGGUAUUAAUAAAGACUCUGCCCUCUGUCUCCCUACCUAAGCCCAAGUUAGGAAGGGCCCUACACUGUUCUUUCAACCCCUCAGUGAUAAAAGUUACAGGAAUGGACUCCUGGAUGCAUCACUCAAGUCAAAGCCUGGAAACCUGAGAGAAAGAGCAACCCCAGACAGCCCAGAGGAAUGUCCUGGAUAUCCAUGUGAAGAAAUAGAAGAUCUUAAGCUGAAAAUCAUAAAAGAUAAGUAAAUGAGUAAGGGCUAUUCGUCCUACUCAGUCCCACUUCUACCUUAUCAGAUACUUUCCGUUAUUUCUACUUUUCCUUCGCUGUCAGAUACUAGAACUUCUUUUUGACGCAUACUUGUGGGAAGAUUUUGAUUAUCCAUGAGAUGACACUUGUAACUUCAUAGACUUCUAAAGGGAAAUUCUAUAUCUUGAAGCUACUAAACUCCAAAUGGUGCUGCAGAUGGAACCACACAUGGACAUGCCUUUCUUCCAAGAACCCUUAGAUCAACUAUAGGAGGAGCCUUAGCUGCUGUUCCCCACAUGAUGCCCCUCUUCAGAAGGAAGCAGCCAGAAAGAGUUGUCCUCCAAUACCCCGAACAGCUAUUGUGUUUCCACUCCUCAGGGGGGAAAUAUGAUACAGGAGGUAGAAAGAAAUUAUUUAGGCAGAUAGUGAGGGUAAAAGAGUCCUCAGCAGAGCUUCCCUUUUAACAAAAUGCAGUACAAGAAAUUAUUUUUUUCCAGCCAGGCACGGUAGCUUAUGCCUGUAAUCCCAGCACUUUGGGAGGCUGAGGCAGGC